rnacentral:rRNA from 1 species
AACGGCCGCGGUAUCCUAACCGUGCGAAGGUAGCGUAAUCACUUGUUCUUUAAAUGAGGACUAGUAUGAAUGGCACCACGAGGGUUAAGCUGUCUCCUUUUUCUAAUCAGUGAAACUAAUCUCCUCGUGAAGAAGCGGGGAUUAUAUUAUAAGACGAGAAGACCCUAUGGAGCUUAAAACAAAUUAACACUUGCUUCUACCCAUUUUUACUCCUGAACUAACACAUAAAAUAUAGCAUCGUUGAUUAAUAGUUUUCGAUUGGGGUGAUCAUGGAGUAAAAACCAACCUCCACGACGAAAAGGAACACUUCCCUGAGCUAAAAGCUACAACUUUAAGCACUAAAAAAUUAACGCACUUUGACCCAAAUUUUUGAGCAACGAACCAAGUUACCCUAGGGAUAACAGCGCAAUCCAUUUCAAGAGCCCCUAUCGACAAAUGGGUUUACGACCUCGAUGUUGGAUCAGGGUAUCCCAGUGGUGCAGCCGCUACUAAAGGUUCGUUUGUUCAACGAUUAAAACCCUACGUGAUCUGAGUUCAGACCGGAGAAAUCCAGGUCAGUUUCUAUCUAUAAAGGGCUUUUUCUAGUACGAAAGGACCGAAAAAGCAUGGCCAAUGAUCAAUUAAGCCAUAUAAAUUACUCAUGUUUUCAACUCAAUUAGAAACAAACCUACCAUAAACCUCAAAAAAAGAGAAGUUAACGUAGCAAAACCUGGCCCUGCAA